rnacentral:rRNA from 1 species
UACGUAGGGUGCAAGCGUUAUCCGGAAUUAUUGGGCGUAAAGAGCUCGUAGGCGGUCUGUCGCGUCUGCUGUGAAAACUGGGGGCUCAACCCCCAGCCUGCAGUGGGUACGGGCAGACUAGAGUGCGGUAGGGGAGAUUGGAACUCCUGGUGUAGCGGUGGAAUGCGCAGAUAUCAGGAGGAACACCCGUGGCGAAAGCGGCUCUCUGGGACGGUACUGACGCUGAGACGCGAAAGCGUGGGGAGCAAACAGG